GACGAACGCUGGCGGCGUGCUUAACACAUGCAAGUCGAACGGAAAGGCCCUGCUUUUGUGGGGUGCUCGAGUGGCGAACGGGUGAGUAACACGUGCGUAACCUGCCCUUGACUUUGGGAUAACUUCAGGAAACUGGGGCUAAUACCGGAUAGGAGCUCCUGCGGCAUGGAGGGGGCUGGAAAGUUUCGGCGGUUGGGGAUGGACUCGCGGCUUAUCAGCUUGUUGGUGGGGUAGUGGCUUACCAAGGCUUUGACGGGUAGCCGGCCUGAGAGGGUGACCGGCCACAUGGGGACUGAGAGACGGACCAGACUCCUACGGGAGGCAGCAGUGGGGAAUAUUGCACAAUGGGCGGAAGCCUGAGGCAGCAACGCCGCGUGCGGGAUGACGGCCUUCGGGUUGUAAACCGCUUUCGCCUGUGACGAAGCGUGAGUGACGGUAAUGGGUAAAGAAGCACCGGCUAACUACGUG
rnacentral:rRNA from 1 species